GGGUGGCGGAUAAGAAUCUAUCAAAUGCAAUCCUUUGCGUUAACCGUGUUGGAAGAUCCAAAAGGCAUUUGAAAGGGAAGAAACGAUGUCUGAUUUGGUGGGUUAUUUUUUGAGAAUUUGGUGCCAUAAUCAUUUAAUUUAGUGUAGCUUCCAAGCAAAAGGACCCAGAGAAAUGCAUGGUGAGCUUUAAAGAAUAGGUAACCUAACCUUUGCUCAACCGAAAGUGACAGUCCCUUUUUGUUUUGUAUCCUUGAUGAUUCUUGACAGAUUAUGUUUUCAUUAUCUGUUUUCUAAGGAUUUUUAUGAGACAUAGAGAACUAGCUACUCAUUGUCUGGCAUCUUAAUAUAGUUUAUCACCAUUGCCUGUGUGAUGUGAGGGAAUAUGCUUAUCUGAGAUAAGCCUACCAGUUAUGGAUUUUGAGCCUAUUUGGCUAUUUCUGUCCUGCAAAAAUUGGGAUGGAAUGAAAAUAGCUCAAAAUAAAGCAAAUCAAAUUGUUUUAUGAGAAAACCAAUGUUUUUUUCUUUGAACUUCUUGCUGAACUUGAAAAAUGAUAUGUAUAUUGGAUCAUAAGGUGAAUUGUCUGCCAUAGCCAAAUACCUUUGUAACAAGUUACAUGAAGACUUAGGUGUCACUGUAAGCAUAGAAUAGAUUGACAUUUUAAUUUUAUAUUUAUUGUAAUUAGAAUUUGAAUCCCAUAAAAAUAAUCCCAUCUCUUAAUUCUAAAAAAACAUAUAUUAUCAAUCAGCUUUAGCUUGGUAGUGUUGAAGCCAUUUCCAACUUUGUGAGACCUCGAGUUCAAGAAAAGAAAACAUAUAUUAAUCAAAUUAUAACUGGUCGUUUACAAAGGAUGGGGAAAAUUUUUUGUUUUCCCCUUUAGUGGAUGGAUUCCUACUUCAACUUUUGUUCUGCAGCCUGCAGUCUGAUCCUAGUAACAAGACUCUAAUUUUGCAAUGAGAAAAGAAGCUUAUUAUGACAGGCCCACCGCAAAUUCCUGAAUUAAGUAAUCUUAAGCAUCUGGAACUGAAAGUUUCAAUUCCAAAUUUAUGAGACCUCUUUCUAAUCACUCUCCUAGUAGGAGCAUCUCCUUCACUGCAGAAACUUAUCUUGUAUGACAGGCAGCUUCCCAUUGGGCAGGAGACCAUAAACAAACAACUGCAAUUGCAUGUGCAUGAAUUAAAGAAGAAAAGGGCAUUUGAUAUUCCCUGAGGCUGCAAGUGCCUGGCAUGCUGAAUUGAAAGCAUAGCUCCAGAGAUGCUAUGCUGUACACUCAAGCCACAAAUUAAGGAUGGAUAUGGACAAGGGAAAGCACAAUUUAGCACAUGGAGUCGAGCAGCAUUUUCAUCCCAACAGAUAAAAAGUGGAGAGGAAAGAAAACUAAUAUUUAUAAAAUAUAAA